GACGAACGCUGGCGGCGUGCCUAACACAUGCAAGUCGAGCGAUGAAACCCUUCGGGGUGGAUUAGCGGCGGACGGGUGAGUAACACGUGGGUAACCUGCCUCAAAGAGGGGGAUAGCCUCCCGAAAGGGAGAUUAAUACCGCAUAACAUUAGUUUUUCGCAUGAAGAACUAAUUAAAGGAGUAAUCCGCUUUGAGAUGGACCCGCGGCGCAUUAGCUAGUUGGUGAGGUAAAGGCUCACCAAGGCGACGAUGCGUAGCCGACCUGAGAGGGUGAUCGGCCACAUUGGAACUGAGACACGGUCCAGACUCCUACGGGAGGCAGCAGUGGGGAAUAUUGCACAAUGGGCGAAAGCCUGAUGCAGCAACGCCGCGUGAGUGAUGAAGGCCUUAGGGUUGUAAAGCUCUUUUACCCGGGAUGAUAAUGACAGUACCGGGAGAAUAAGCCCCGGCUAACUCCGUGCCAGCCGCCGCAGUAAAAC
rnacentral:rRNA from 1 species